GCUGCAGUACUUCAUAGAAUCAUUUCUAUAGUUAGUCGUCCUCUUCUGAGCUUCUCAAAAAAGCCACAGAUUCUCCAACCUGGUUGAUGAGUUUCAGCCCCGAUGUCCCGGAGUGAGGCCUUAUUACGAUUGCUUCGGCAAACGUGGCGAUGAUCUUCAGCCAACUGGUCUCGUACUUCGGUCGAGCUGGACGGCAGGACGUUGGUGGCAAUCUGACAGGC
rnacentral:snoRNA from 18 species